ACAGCAGGGAUAGUGUGUAUCGGUGUUGUGCUAUGUUUAAUGCACUCUUCCGAAAGAGUUCUCUGCAACAUGGUUUUGACAAAGUGGGCAGUUGUAUUUCAUCCUUUAUUGAAAAUCACAACAAUCAUUUUCCCUACAUCU
rnacentral:snoRNA from 1 species